AGAGUUUGAUCAUGGCUCAGGACGAACGCUGGCGGCGUGCUUAACACAUGCAAGUCGAACGAGGUCCAAGCGUUAGCAAUAACGUGGAAGACCUAGUGGCGAACGGGUGAGUAACACGUGAGGAACCUACCCCGGACUCAGGGAUAACAGACGGAAACAUCUGCUAAUACCUGAUGCCGUCGGAGCAUCACAUGGUGCACUGACSAAAGAAUCUCGGUUCGGGAGGGCCUCGCGGCCUAUCAGCUUGUUGGUGGGGUAACGGCCUACCAAGGCAUCGACGGGUAGCUGGUCUGAGAGGAUGAUCAGCCACACUGGGACUGAGACACGGCCCAGACUCCUACGGGAGGCGGCAGUGGGGAAUCUUGCGCAAUGGGCGAAAGCCUGACGCAGCAACGCCGCGUGCGGGAAGAAGGCCUUAGGGUUGUAAACCGCUUUCAGUAGGAACGAAAAUGACGGUACCUGCAGAAGAAGGUGCGGCCAACUACGUGCCAGCCGCCGCGGUAAUACA
rnacentral:rRNA from 1 species